UAGACUAUCCACGUAAGCAAAUUUAAUCGACCUAUCAUAUGCUUUUAUAUUGCGACAUUAGCUCGACCUGUCAUAUUUCUUCGUUGUGAGCCGGUGAUUUGAAACCAAUCGUCUCUUCACCUUUCUUUUUGUCUCAAUGCAUCCUUUAAUUAUAGUCUAUUUGUCUCCCUCUCCGCUUCAAAUCCCUAAAUCCCCAAGCAUCACCCUAUCUAUCGUAUUCCCGGCUCCACAUUCUGGAAAUCAAACCCCACCGCAUCCAUGGCUAACAACAAAGCAAAAUCAAUUGUUUUUCAGAAAAAGAAUCUAUACAUACAAAAAUGACAAGUUGAAGUUUUUAGUAGACAGAUGCUGCGUUUUGGGAACUAUAGCAAGGAUUCUCAACAAUGGCGACCAUUCCUUCUCACGAAGAACUAUCACUCUUCUCCGUCGUUCAAAACCACCAGCUCCUCUGAACCUUCGUUCAUUCAUCUCCCGGAGAAAAGAUCCCGAGUAGCUACGAAAGCUUCUCUCACUAGAACCAACGAGGCUUCUUUAUCUGCCGUCAUCUCCAGGCUCGAGCGUGAACGGAAAGGAUUAACCGGCGGCGGCGGAGAACAGUGGCAUACGGCAGAGGAUUUCCGUCGGCGCGAUAAAAUAACCGAGGAAGAGAGGAGGCUUAGAGACACAUGGCGUAAGAUCCAAGGAGAAGACGAUUGGGCCGGGUUAAUGGACCCAAUGGACCCGGUUCUCAGAUCGGAGCUGAUCCGUUACGGCGAAAUGGCUCAGGCCUGUUACGACGCCUUCGACUUUGAUCCUUCCUCGACGGCAACCCACGUCGAGUGUAAUCUUCACUUUGGUCACACAUUGGGUCUGUUGAUUUUUGAAAGUAUUUGACCUUACAUUAGUUCUGUGUUUUGAUUUAGGUUGGCCUCUAAAUGUAUAAUGUCUCCAUUUAGAUCCGACGUGAGUUGUUGGUUCGAUGAGGCUCUAAGAACUCAAGCAGUGCUAUUGGAGGCAGGCUUUCUGAAUAUCUUUGGUCAGUGUCAAGUUUCUUGAUCUCUUAUGGAUGCAAUUUUGAUACUUUUUUUGCUAUGUAAAGAGAAAUGAGUUCUUAUAAGCAUUGUUCUAUUGGAUCAACACUCACACCUGAUCCUAAAUGAUAUUUUUUGGAAACAUCAAAUUUUUACUGCACGUCCAAGGUAUAAUACAAUCUCGCAAGAUCCAUAUAUGCAUGUUGGUUAACGUCAAGAUUUCUAACUCCAAAUUUGUGGAGAAUGUUUUUUUCGAACAUUGGUAGACUAAUAUUUUUUAUAUGGAAUGGAAAAAGCGAGUGAAAUUAUUGCUUUAUAUUAUUGCCAUUAGUUCAAUGCAGCUAUAUGGAGAGGAGCAGGUGACUGCAAUUGCAAGCAAGAAGCUCACCUGAGAAGGCUGUUAGUUCAUCACAAUGUCAGUAGAAAGUAGAAGCUGACCAGAAGAAAGAAGGUGAUGAUGAAAUCUACCUGCGAUCAAUAGCCACAUGAGACCAACAUCCUGGACACUCUGCACUCUCUCGCUUCAAAGCUAACAACAAAUCUCUAAGAUGCAAGAAGUACAUCAGAUAUGAAUCAUGCAAGCAGGACAAGAGUCAGGGGAAGUAUCACUAAGGCAGAUCCAUGAUGAUGAUAGAUUUUGAUAAAAGGUUAGUGGAUUUACUUAGUUAUGUAACAGCAGAUUUUGGUUGUAGUAGUUUUGUAACUUUCACAUUUACUCUCUUCAUAUUUAAAUGCCUCUUUCGCUGCAUUCAUCGUCCCUUUAAGUUAGCCUUCAGGCACUUAAAUCGCACAGACACAGCUAGGCUUUGCGGUCUCAGUAGCGAUUGCGGUUUGAAUUUUGUGCUCUCCGCAGGCCAGUCUCCCUUCAUUACUUCUCUUUGAUAAAUUCCAUUACAUAUACGUAGAAAGCCGCAUUGGUUCUUAGUGUCUCAUGGAUCCCAUUACACCUUGCACUUGAAAAGGAACAAAACAAAUUCAAGAAAUAAGGAAGAAGAGCAGAAGUUGUGUCAUGCAGUUUUGGCUGCUAAUCAUUUCAUGUGUAUGGGUGCGAGCAAGGUAAUUCUUGCUAAUUGUAUGCUUUUGUGCUUUGCAUCAUCCUGGUUAUGCAUGUGGAAUUGGAAAUCUUUUUAUUCCUUAGUUGGUGCCUUCACCAUUCAGGAGUUGAAAAAAAACCAAAAUCUUCUACAACUUCAACUGGUGAUCUUGGAAUUGGGCUUGAACAGCUUCAUCUAAUGUCAAAAGUUAAGAAGAUUGCUUCUCUGCAGCUAUAUGGAGAGGAGCAAGCGAGUGUAAUUUCAAGCAAACAACUUCACCAUAGAACGCGGUUCAUCACAAUGCCAGUGCGAAUAAGAAGUCAGAUCAGAAGAUUAUGUCCUUUUCGGGUCUCAGCUCUGUCUCUUCUUCCAUAAGAAUAUCAAAAGAAAACGACGGCCAUUGCACAAGUCGUUUAUCUCCAUCGUUUGGACUUGACAUAGCGCUUCAGAGAAAGGGAAUAGAGUUUUCAUAUAUCAUUAUUGUUUUUUUUUAUGUUGCGUUAGUUCUCAGUUAGGUCAAUUUCUCAAAUGAAAAAUAAGUUUUUGAAAUUAAGAUACAUAUAAAUAUACGUUUUAAACUUUGUCAAAAUAUCAUAACAAAUACAUUUCUCUUUCCGUAAUUGUUAAACGGCAAUGUUGUUCAUGUUUCGUUUGCGGCUUCGUAUUUCCUUUCUUUUUCUAUUGUCUAAAUUUAUUCUUCCAAAAAAUCUUGGUUCGUACAAUACUUUCUCUGUAUGUAUUUAGCAAAUUUUUAAUCCAUUCAUAAGUCUACCACCAAAAAGUAGAAAUUAUUUACUCUAUUAUCAUCAAGAUUAUAAUUAAAACAAAACAAAAAAACAUACAGACAAUAUACAAAAAUUAAAAUACAGAUAAAAUAUUUAAUCUAUUUUCUAAUUCAAGAAGAUAUGUUACUUAAAUUUGCCGGUCUAAAAACCAGAUAGAUAUAAAUAACCAAUUCAAUAAUUUAAGAAUUGAAAUCUCUUUUUUAAUUUCUUGAACAUAUACAUAAUUUAUCUAUUUUAAAAAUAUUGAACAUUAUUAUAUAAUAUUAUAUUUUACAUGUUUUUUUAUUCGGUGUAUGUUUUAAAUUAUUAUCUUUUAUUAAACUCAAUAUUACACCAUGAAACGAAUAAAAAUAGUCUCAGAAUAUUAUUCAACAAUCAUCUCCAAAUAAAACUCCUAAACCUAUAAUAAUACUUUGAAGUGCAUUAUCAAACAAUUGUUAUUCCGAUGCAUUUACUUAUGAUGAAUUUUUGAUCAUUUUAAACUAUGUUGAAAGUCAUAUAUACAAAUAGUAUUAUUAAAUUUACAAAAUAUAACAGAAAAUAACCUAAAAUAUCUUAUUUUGUAUUGAUAAGUACUAUUAUUUUUCCGCUUUACAUAAUAAAACAUAUUUUACAAAAAACAAGACUCUGUCUAACAAUAAAGAAAAAUUGAAAUUAAAUUCCCCAUUUUAUAUCAAUAAACCAAGCACAAAACAAUGAAAAUAUUAAGUUUUUUUUAUAACGUUGAUUGAAAAUAUUAAGUUAAGCUGGUCAAAUAAAAAAAUCUCCCCAGUUUGAUGCAAUAAUUUACAUAUGAAAAAAUAUGAUUAAAUUUAAAAUAUAAAUUACCAUGAAAGUAUGUGAAAAUUAUUACUCGCUUCAAUAUUUUAAACAAAAAUUUACUAUAACACCACUAUUGAUGUUGUUUGCAGCUUCAGAAUAGGUCCAAAAUAAUACAAAUCAAAUCAUUUUGAGGCAUUAUUAAAUCACACAAGAGUAUAAAAGAUCGAAACUAAAUAAAAAAGCAAUAAAAAAUCCAAAGUAUCUUAAUAUGCUUUAAUGUUGAAGACAUUUUCCGGUUUAUUAAUUCUACCAGUUUGAUGCAAUAAUUUACAUAUGAAAAAUAUGAUUAAAUUUAAAAUAUAAAUUACCAUGAAAGUAUGUGAAAAUUAUUACUCACUUCAAUAUUUGAAACAAAAAUUUACUAUAACACCACUAUUGAUGUUGUUUGCAGCUUCAGAAUAGGUCCAAAAUAAUACAAAUCAAAUCAUUUUGAGGCAUUAUUAAAAUCACACAAGAGUAUAAAAGAUCAAAACCAAAUCAAAAAGCAAUAAAAAACUCCAAAGUAUCUUAAUAUGCUUUAAUGUUGAAGACAUUUUCUGGUUAUUAAUUCUAAAUUAUGCUAAAAUAUUAAAAAAUAAACAUCAAUAAAAUUAUUGAAGAAAAUUUAGAAAUUGGCCAACCAAAAACACUUACGCAAAUAAUAACUUAUUAAGUUAAUAUUGAGAAAAUGAGACA